rnacentral:misc_RNA from 1 species
AUCGUUAAUUAAGGACAGACAACUCCUAACAUAACAAAAGACAAUAGAUAUACUUAAACACCUCGACACGAGCGUGCCUUUCCACACAGAAGGUGAAGCGUAACUAAUACACACAGACUAUGUUCGUCGAUAACAGUGCAGUACAGUUGAACCAACGUAUCGUAUGACUGAAAUUGACCUUAGAUAACAUAUGAAUUGUGUGAUUACAAGAAUACCAGGCUUGUUACAGAUAGGUGGUGAUUUUAAACGGAAUUAAUCAAAUAGAGUAUGUAAAAUAAUGUAUCGCAUGAAAAUCAAAUCAACGAAUAAAAUACAUUGGUUUAUAAAUCACUUAAUAACACCAGGUUGUCGCCGAGGCAAGUCGCAGAAAUAAUAUGCUAGGCAAGAGGCCCAACACGGGGUAUUAGUAGUAUACCUACAAUAUUGGUUAUACCUCUAUCGAUAUGGUAGAGCUACAAUAUUUAUAACUUAUUGAUAUGAUAGGACUGAAACGUCAUAUGACGAUGUGCAACAUGAUUCAUGGAUGGUACGACAGCAUUUCAAGUGCUGGUGUGAUUUAAAGUUAACGCUCAGUAUCUCUACUAUUUACUCAUGUAGAUAAACGCUAUAUAUAGCUACAUACAGCGGUAUAUACCUGUUCACGCAGUUGAACACAAAGGGUGCUAUUUCUUCAUGUCGGGGUUUUGCCACGCUGUCAUCGGGACAUGACGCAUCAGUGAAGACGGGGGCCGAAAAGUUGGAAUACAUUUGUAGUCUAAAACUACUGUUGAAACAGAGAGGAAGAAACAACGUGAUGUCUAAUGACGCAGUGGUGAGGAUAUCCCUCAAUACAGACGAUAUCAUAUUUGCUGCACAAAAAAUUCUUGCGCAAACAACAAGUGAAUUCUUACCAACUCUCAUCGGAAUUACUACGUUAGUGUUUUUAGUGGUUGGAUUUGCGUCAUUCGUUGGGACCUGUUUGAGCCUGUGCGUGUUCGGUAAAUUUAAAUGCUGUUAUCGUUGUAGACGUUCGAGAUACCAUCAUGAUGACGACGACGACGACUUUGUUGACUGUCCAGACCCAGCCGGUAAGCCAUUGCGCAAUGGCAAUGCAUUCCCACAGAACGAAACAUUUUUAUAAAACAAUUCACUCUUUUCUACAAAACAAAACAUCACUAAUGAUGUGGCUAUUAUAUGUUAUUGUGUCCAUCAAGUAAAAAAGGACAAACAAUAUUUUAUUGGUUUGAAAUUUGUGUUCUCUCGGUAGUACAACUAAUUGGUGAUCGGAUGGCGGAAUGGAUAACGCACCAAGGUGACCAGGUUUCGAAUCCCUCGAUUGGAUGUGAAAACUUAUGCUGUCACCUGCCCGACCAUGUGGGUACUCCGGUUCCUCUUACGUUAAGAGGUCCCACUCAUCCCAAUCCUAUAUGGCUAUAUUUUAGUAAAAUGAGAAAUUAACAACAGAAAAGAUAUAUUUAUUUCGUAUAUAAGGUUUUGUUACAGUUAGAGUACCGAUAAUGUCAAGUCAAGAAAAACGACAAGCAAAUCGAAAUUGAAACUCUUCUUUGUUGGAGGUACGACACAAGGGUGGGUGGCUUUGUCUACCUUAAUUCCGAAAUCGGAAAGAGUAUAAGGAAUACAUGGGAAGGACAAUACCAUUGAUUUAAAAAUCACAGCGUAGCCGCUUUAUGUCAUAUUGUGAUUUUGACAAGAGUGUUCUGUCAGAAUCAAAGACAGGACGAAAUAAGUGGUUUUUAUCAUGGACUGGAAAUUUAAAAUCUUCGACAGAAUUGUAACUCGGCACAUUAUUCGUGUCCGUUGAAUAAUCCGCCGACUUGUAACAAAACAAAAUCCGGGUAAACAAGGAUGACCGUGAUAUAUUCUAGACCAGAAACAACUCCUGUACUUUGUAAAGAAAGAAAUGAAAUACUGCAAUAUAUCUUUAAAUCUCAUUUCUCAAAUUGGCACAAAACACUAGACAACAAUUUAUCGCACCUCAGUCAGGGAUAUUCCAUGCGAUGACAUUUUUUUCUAUCCGAGUGGCUUUGGACACUCGGGUGGUAAUAGCGACGACCUUUUUCUAUUUCGUCCGAUCUGUUUGGCGCGGAAUAUUCACAUUUUGCAUUAUUAAAAUUAUAUUUUGUCGUAA